UGUUAAGAUAAAAGACUGGGGACG
rnacentral:piRNA from 1 species